rnacentral:rRNA from 1 species
UACGAAGGGGGCGAGCGUUGUUCGGAUUUACUGGGCGUAAAGGGCGCGCAGGCGGUCAUUUUUGUCGAGUGUGAAAGCCCCGGGCUUAACCUGGGAACUGCGCUCGAAACGGGAUGACUAGAGAUCGGGAGAGGAGAGUGGAAUUCCCAGUGUAGCGGUGACAUGCGUAGAUAUUGGGAGGAACACCAGUGGCGAAGGCGGCUCGCUGGACCGGUUCUGACGCUGAUGCGCGAAAGCGUGGGGAGCAAACGGG